GACGAACGCUGGCGGCGUGCUUAACACAUGCAAGUCGAACGGAAAGGCCCUGCUUUUGUGUGGUGCUCGAGUGGCGAACGGGUGAGUAACACGUGAGUAACCUGCCCUUGACUUUGGGAUAACUUCAGGAAACUGGGGCUAAUACCGGAUAGGAGCUCCUGCUGCAUGGUGGGGGUUGGAAAGUUUCGGCGGUUGGGGAUGGACUCGCGGCUUAUCAGCUUGUUGGUGGGGGAGUGGCUUACCAAGGCUUUGACGGGUAGCCGGCCUGAGAGGGUGACCGGCGACAAUGGGACUGAGAUACGGCCCAGACGCCUACGGGAGGCAGCAGGGGGGAAUAUUGCACAAUGGGCGGAAGCCUGAUGCAGCAACGCCGCGUGCGGGAUGACGGCCUUCGGGUUGUAAACCGCUGUCGCCUGUGACGAAGCGUGAGUGACGGUAAUGGGUAAAGAAGCACCGGCUAACUACGUG
rnacentral:rRNA from 1 species